CUACUUGUAACUGGACCUCUGUCCCUCAAUCGAGUUCCUCUGCGUAGAACACACCAAAAAUUCGUCAUUGCCACUUCUACCAAAAUUGAUAUCAGCAGCGUGAAAAUCCCCAAACAUCUCACUGAUGCUUAUUUCAAGAAGAAGAAGUUGCGUAAGCCCAGACACCAGGAGGGUGAGAUCUUCGACACCGAGAAAGAGAAAUACGAGAUUACAGAGCAGCGCAAGGUUGAUCAGAAAGCUGUGGACUCACAAAUUCUGCCAAAAAUCAAGGCUGUUCCUCAGCUUCAGGGCUACCUCCGCUCUGUGUUUUCUCUCACAAAUGGAGUUUACCCUCACAAAUUGGUGUUCUAAAUUUCUUACAAAGAACCUAAUUAAAUAACUGAUCAAUU